rnacentral:tRNA from 1 species
UCCCUGGUUGCUCAGUUGGUAAAGAAUCUGCCUGCACUUCAGGAGAUCCAGGUUCAAUUCCUGGGUAGGGAA